rnacentral:rRNA from 1 species
AGGAUAAACGCUGGCGGCGUGCAUUAGACAUGCAAGUCGAACGGACUUUUCAGGGCUUGCUCUGAAAAGUUAGUGGCGGACGGCUGAGUAACGCGUGGGUGACCUACCCCGAAGUGGGGAAUAACUGCCCGAAAGGGUGGCUAAUACCGCAUGUGAUCGUUUGUUCAUUCGAUCGAUCAAAGCAGAAAUGCGCUUCGGGAGGGGCCUGCGUCCGAUUAGCUCGUUGGUGGGGUAAUGGCUCACCAAGGCGACGAUCGGUAGGUGGUCUGAGAGGACGAUCACCCAGACUGGGACUGAGACACGGCCCAGACUCCUACGGGAGGCAGCAGUCGGGAAUUUUGCUCAAUGGGCGCAAGCCUGAAGCAGCAACGCCGCGUGAGGGAUGAAGGCCUUCGGGUUGUAAACCUCUUUUAUCAGGGAAGAUUAUGACGGUACCUGAUGAAUAAGCCACGGCUAACUACGUGCCAGCAGCCGC